UACAGAGGUCUCAAGCGUUGUUCGGAAUUACUGGGCGUAAAGCGUGCGUAGGCGGCGAGGUAAGUCAGAUGUGAAAUGCCGGGGCUCAACCCCGGAACUGCAUCCGAUACUGCCUUGCUCGAGUAGUGGAGGGGAGUCUGGAAGUCACGGUGUAGCAGUGAAAUGCGUAGAUAUCGUGAGGAACACUAGUGGCGAAGGCGAGACUCUGGACACUUACUGACGCUGAGGCACGAAGGCCAGGGUAGCGAAAGGG
rnacentral:rRNA from 1 species